CGUGCAGCCGGGUCUGCAAGUCAGAUGUGAAAUCCAUGGGCUCAACCCAUGAACUGCAUUUGAAACUGUAGAUCUUGAGUGUCGGAGGGGCAAUCGGAAUUCCUAGUGUAGCGGUGAAAUGCGUAGAUAUUAGGAGGAACAUCAGUGGCGAAGGCGGCUUACUGGACUGAAACUGACACUGAGGCACGAAAGCGGUGGGGAGCAAACA
rnacentral:rRNA from 1 species